rnacentral:rRNA from 1 species
AUUGAACGCUGGCGGCAGGCCUAACACAUGCAAGUCGAACGAGUGGCGGACGGGUGAGUAAUGUCUGGGAAACUGCCUGAUGGGGGGGGAUAACUUCUGGAAACGGUAGAUAAUACCGCAAAACCUCAGAUGCGCCCAGAUGGGUUUAGCUAGUUGGGGGGGUAACGGCUCACCAAGGCGACGACCCCUAGCUGGGCUGAGAGGAUGACCAGCCACACUGGAACUGAGACACGGUCCAGAGUCCUACGGGAGGCAGCAGUGGGGAAUAUUGCACAAUGGGCGCAAGCCUGAUGCAGCCAUGCCGCGUGUAUGAAGAAGGCCUUCGGGUUGUAAAGUACUUUCAGCGGGGAGGCGUUACCCGCAGAAGAAGCACCGGCUAACUCCGUGCCAGCAGCCGCGGUAAUUC